rnacentral:misc_RNA from 1 species
UUAAGUUCAGCGGGUAGUCCUACCUGAUUUGAGGUCAAGCAUUAAAAGGCUAACGAUGGUCCAAGACCAUUCCGUGUUGGAAGCAGAGUCCUUCAAGAUGCGGUUGUAGGGCAAGCCCACAUUCUAUGUGAUCAAAUUAUCACACAUAGUCAGACCGGACUCAAAAGAUGAUUCCACUGAUCGAUUUAAGACGAGCAAGA